rnacentral:tRNA from 1 species
GCCCUAGUAGCUUAACCACUAAAGCAUUGUUCUUGUAAACCAAAGCUGGGCCUACCCCUAGAGCA